UUUUUUUAAGAGAGAUGAAAGUGACUCAAGAAGCUGUGUCACCAAAUCUUUGAGAGCUAUGUCACCAAAUCAAAAAAUAACAGAAAACCAGACAAGAUCAUAAGAAAUCAUUUGCACAAUCAAGUGGCAUCAUUCCAAACCACUGGAGGAGCAAUGCCCGCUUUCUUUUUAAAAUUCUCCUGGGAAAAUUACUCCUCAGCCUCCUUUAUAAAUCCUUGAGGAAAUGUCAAGUUCUUUCACGACAAGAAAAACUCUCAGCUGGGCACAGUGGCUCACACCUGUAAUCCCAGCACUUUGGGAAGCUGAGACUAUAAUCCCUGCUGGGAUUACAGAUGUGAGCCAACAUCCCUGGCCUUAAUU
rnacentral:lncRNA from 10 species